GAAAGGGUUAGUAAUGAAUAGGUAACGUACCCCGAGCUUCGGAAUAGCGUCUGUUGCUUCGGCAACUUUCCGAAAGGGGCGGUAAUACCGGAUAAUAUCAUGGGUCGAUAGGCACAUGAUCAAAGAUUUAUCGGCACGGGAGCGGCCUAUUUCCUAUCAGCUUGUUGGUGAGGUAAAAGCUCACCAAGGCUCUGACGGGUAGCGGGACUGAGAGGUUGACCCGCAACAUCGGGACUGAGACACUGCCCGGACCUCCACGGAGGGCUGCAGUAACGAAUCUUGCGCAAUGGGCGAAAGCCUGACGCAGCGACGCCGCGUGUAGGAGGAAGUCCUUCGGGAUGUAAACUACUGUCAGGGAUAUGAAAGUGUACUUCGGUGCAUUGAUCUGUCCCAGAGGAAGUCACGGCUAACUUCGUGCCAGCAGCCGCGGUAAGACGAAGGUGGCGAGCGUUGUUCGGUGUCACUGGGCUUAAAGCGUGUGCAGGCGGAAAGGUAAGCGUCUUGUGAAGCCCUCGGCUUAACCGAGGAAUGGCUGGACGAACUGCUUUUCUUGAGGCAGGCA
rnacentral:rRNA from 1 species